GUUUGAAUACUACAGCAUGGAAUAACAAAAUUGAACAAGUCAGAAUUUUGUUCUUUUUUCUUAUCUUGGCUUAGUUACGAUUAAUAGGAGUAGCUUGGGGGCAUUUGUAUUCAGAUGUCAGAGGUGAAAUUCUUAGAUUUUCUGGAGACAAGCAACUGCGAAAGCAUUUGCCUAAAAUACUUCCAUUAAUCAAGAACGAAAGUUAAGGGAGUGAAGACGAUCAGAUACCGUCGUAAUCUUAACCAUAAACUAUGCCGACUAGGUGUUGGAUGAUAGAGUAAAAAAUAAAAGAGACAUUCAUAUAUAUGAGUGUUUCUUUUAGAUAGCUUCCUUCAGUACCUUAUGAGAAAUCAAAGUCUUUGGGUUCUGGGGCGAGUAUUCGCGCAAGCGAGAAAGUUAAAAGAAUUGACGGAAGGGCACCACCAGGCGUGGAGCUUGCGGCUUAAUUUGACUCAACACGGGGAAACUCACUAGUUUAAGACAAGAGUAGGAUUGACAGAUUAAUAGCUCUUUCUUGAUUUCUUGGAUGGUGAUGCAUGGCCGUUUUUAGUUCGUGAAUAUGAUUUGUCUGGUUAAUUCCGAUAACGAACGAGAUCUUAACCUGCUAAUUAGCGGUAAAUACACUAUAUUCUUAAGUGAAAUUAGAAUAUAGAUAAAUUGUGCUAAUUUUGAUUAAAAUAUUAGAAUGUUUUUUUUGAUAAAAACGUUCUUUUCCCUUUUUUUCUUAAUUAUGCAUAUUUAUUCUUUUUCUUUU
rnacentral:rRNA from 1 species